GCCCGGGACGCGGCGCGGCGGCCGCGCGCUGCUUGGCCUCCGGUCACAUGCCUGCCGGGGCCCGGAUAGCCAGCGGCCGGCCCCCAGCGCUAGGAAAAGGUGCGGUUCUCAAGGACAACGCGGGCCACUCCCAACGCCAGCGGUAGCCAGAGAUUGAGCUGAAGAAGCCGGCAACCUGGAUAUACCACGGGGUGCAGACCAAAAGGCCCCAGCAAAAGCUUGCUAUCUAUAGCCAGAGAAGUAUGAAGACUUGAAGAGAAAGAAGACCAAGCCGACCAAAUGGCAUGUUGGUUAAGAGUUGGCUUGGGACACCAGUUCUGAGCAGCAGGGCCCCGGUU